ensembl:lncRNA
AUGGAGAGGACUUGCUGCUUAUAUCUCCUGCUGCUAAUACUGGCUCCGGCCAACAAAGGGGAAAUGUGUCACUCCUUGGUGGCUAGAUCCAGAUUGGGGCCUUUCCAUUGUCCCGCAAAGGGCAGCAAUCCAACGGCGAUGUUCUGCUGUGGUACUUGCCGCCAGCCCUAUUGUUGCGCAUCACAAGCCGAGCGCUUGGACCCAGAGAAGUGCACUGUUGAACUGGACAAGUUCACCUUGGAGGAACUCAAGGGCACCCGUAUUAACCAGGGGGAGAAUAGCACCGACCACCAGCCCACCUCCACCUGGAGGCAUCUGGGGGGCUUUGACUUGGGAGCCUUAGGAAACUAUGCCUUCCUGAACACCACCAACCAAGACGCAGGGGAUGAGCAAGUUCCCUGGAAGUACAUUUGGCUCUUGCCGGCCAGCUUUGGGUUUUUCCUCUUGUGCAUCUCUUUCUCCAUGAUUGUUCCUCAUCUUCGCCAUCGGCUGAGAACACUACGCUGCCUGACAGCUUCUGGUGAAGUCUCUCCAGACGUGGCUGAUCCUCCUGCACGUCCUCUAAAAUCUGCUCUCACACAGGUCCCUAACUCCUAUGUGGAUGCUGACCCAUCAUCCCCAGAAACUAAGAGUCUUCAGGAUGCUUCUGAGAUGCCCCCUGGCUCAAGUAACCCAUCCGAGAUGCCACCUAGUCCUCCAAUUUCUGGAGAUCACAUGUUGGAAACCAUCACCUUGUCUCCAGCAAGACCCCGAAGCAAAUUUUGAAGGCUAAAGCAUCAUUCUAGGACAAGAUAUCCUUAUUUUAUGGAGAGAUGGAUUAAGCACCCACAUCCCAACCCUGAAUGUGCUACAGCUUCCUUUUUAAAGGAUGAGUUAUGUAUAAAGUUUUUAAUAUGUGUUUACUAUUUAGACUGAUCACUAUGUAGGCUCUUUUCACCUCUACGCAGCAGUUCAACAAUGUUUUCACUAUCGAUGUUGGGUCUCCAAUUCUGUAAUUUGGAGAAGUGGGUUAGAUCUCUGAUGUUUCUCCAAAGCACUGCAGAAAUCCCAGGAUGCCAUAAAAUGGACCCCUGGCUGUUAACAUGGGAUUAAACUGGUCUGACUAUGAAUAUAUAGAUGCAUUCUGUUUUCCCAAAGUAUUGAUUCAAUUGCAAACACAUGGAUCAAUGAAUGAGAAGAAAACUUCUCUCAUUGCCUCCUCUUAAAGAGAGGGAUGCUGUAUUAAAAGAGUGUAACAUCCAUACAUUUCAAGCAGGCUUUCAUCCUUCUUUAGACACCACACCUAGCUAACCUUGAACUACUCUGUCAUAUGGAAGCCUGGGAUCUGUAGUUUGAGGAGGUACUUGGAAUUAUCAGAUCUUUCUUGCACUGUAGUUUGGAAGAGAAAGAUCCAGGAUCCCAUAGGAUGCAACUGUAAGAUUAAAAAGGAUAUUGAACUGCAAUAACUCUGUAGUGUAGGCCCAACUGGUGUUGGACAACUCAAAAAGGUUUGAGUUUGGAAAACUGGAAUGUAAGGGAAGAGCAUUUUGGUUUGCAAGAUUAUGCCCAAAGCAGAAUAGUUGCCAGACCUUUACAGCACUGUUGAAACACAACAUGAUCCAAGGCCAUUUAUUCUGGCCACUUCUUAAAACCAAGCUUAGUUGAGCUGCCAUGUGAAACACGUGUGGUGUAGUCCUUUAUUUUUGGGUGGUAGGAAUGUUUUACAUGUUACCUCAAUCAAUCUGUUUGCAACUUGCAACUCCACCUAGUGGAUGCAAAGGCAAAAGACUGCAUACCUCAAUGGAGUUAUGCUAGAAUGGCUUUUAAAUCUUGAAUAUUGCUAAAACCACAGAUUCUCUAUUAACCACAAAGAGGGCAUUUGUGCUUCUUGAAUUUGAGCACUUUCAGGACACAAGUGAUCUUUUUAAAAGUUCUUACACAAAUCAACUAUAUGUUUCCAACUGUAUGCAUCUAAAUAAAUGAUGUCAUCAAUACAUUUUUUUUCUAUAUUAAAUUUGAUACUGUUUUUACGGAGUGAUUUCUUGAAUGUUUGAGAAGAACCCAUGCAUAUAUGUGUGUAUGUGUCUGUCUAUAUGUGUAAAUGUGUAUGUAUAUAAAAAGGUAAAGAUUUUCCCCUUACAUUAAGUCUAGUCGUGUCCGACUCUGAGGAUUGGUGCUCAUCUCCAUUUCUAAGCCGAAGAGCCGGUGUUGUCUGUAGACACCUCCAAGGUCACGUGGCCGGCAUGACUGCAUGGAGCGCCCUUACCUUCCUGCCGGAACAGUACCUAUUGAUCUACUCACAUUUGAAUGUUUUCAAAAUGCUAGCUUGGCAGAAGUUGGGACUAACAACGGGAGCUCACCCCGUUCCCCAGAUUCAAUCUGCCAACCUUUUGGUCAGCAAGUUCAGCAGCUCAGUGGUUUAACCCACUGUGCCACCGGGGGCCCUGUGUAUGUAUAUAUGUAUGUGUAUAUCUGUGUAUGAACACAUGUGUAAGUGUAUUUCUAUGUGUGUGUGCAUGCGUAUAUGAGUAUGUAUAUAUCUGUAUGUGUAUAUAUAUAUGUUAGGCUGGACGUGAGCCAAGGCCCCUCUCAUCCCUGUAGGAAUAAUAAUAACAAUAAUAAUAAACUUUAUACCCCGCCACCAUCACCCCAAAGGGACUCAGGGUGGCUCACAGAAGCACUACAAGUGCUGAACAUAAAAUAAACAAUACAUAAACAUAUAGACUAGGGAGCCCCGGUGACGCAGCAUGUUAAAACGCUGAUCUGCUGAACUUAUGGACCGAAAGGUCCCAGGCUCGAAUCCAGGGAGCGGAGUGAGCACCUGCUGUCAGCUCCAGCUUCUGCCAACCUAGCAGUUCGAAAACAUGCAAAUGUGAGUAGAUCAAUAGCAGGAAGGUAACGGCCCCCCAUGCCAGCCACAUGACCUUGGAGGUGUCUACGGACAACAGCGGCUCUUCAGCUUAGAAAUGGAGAUGAGCACCAACCUCUAGAGUCAGACAUGACUGGACUUAACGUCAGGGGAAACCUUUACCUAAACAUAUAGACUAUCAUAAAUUUACAACUGCAAACAUGCCACAUAAUUUUUAAAAAUAAUUCAUAAAACGCUGUGGUGCCUGCGGAUAAAACUGCCAGUUUUAAAUUAGCAAUCCAAUGCCGGAGUGAAGCAAUGACUUAGUCCUCCUGUCUAACUAUUAAAAACUACUCAAGGCCAAAGGCCUGUUUAAAAAGCCAAGUUUUUAGACUAGCCCGAAAAUCUUGGAGAGUGGGGGCUAACCUAAGUGGCUGAGGGGGAAAAGGCUUGAGGCUGUUAGGAAUUGUGGGAGCUGAAGUCCAAAACACCUGGAGGGCCCAAAUUUGCCCAUGCCUGAUCUACACUAUAGAAUUCAUGCAAUUUAACAUCCUUUUCACUGUCACUUAAUGCUAUGGAAUCUUGGGAGCUGUAGUUUGACAAGGCCUUCUUUGCCUAAUAGUGCAAGUUACACCUCCCGGGAUCCCAUGGUAUUGAACCAUGGCAGCUAAAGUGGUGUCAAGCUGCAUUUAUACUGCAGCGUAAAUACACUUCAAGUUUGGAUUUUUACAGAAAUCAAAUUCAUCCAAUGCACCAAACUGAUUUUUCAGCUAUCUCUAACUUAGACUAUUCGUUCUCCAGUGGCAUUUCUUGGGCUCAAGUUUGAGAAACUUUAGAAUUGUUUCUAAUGAAAUUCAAUAUCUUUCGUUUU